GCCUCUGUAGCUUAGUGGUAGGAACACUGGUCUAGUAAACCAGGGGUCAAGAGUUCAAUUCUGUCCAAAGCCU
rnacentral:tRNA from 1 species